UACGUAGGGGGCUAGCGUUGUCCGGAAUCAUUGGGCGUAAAGCGCGUGUAGGCGGCCCGAUAAGUCCGCUGUGAAAGUCCAGGGCUCAACCCUGGGAUGCCGGUGGAUACUGUCGGGCUAGAGUCCGGAAGAGGCGAGUGGAAUUCCUGGUGUAGCGGUGAAAUGCGCAGAUAUCAGGAGGAACACCAAUGGCGAAGGCAGCUCGCUGGGACGGUACUGACGCUGAGACGCGAAAGCGUGGGGAGCGAACAGG
rnacentral:rRNA from 1 species